GCCUCAUGGACCCAGGGCCUUUCAGCAGGGGAGUAGGCAGAGAUAGGAGGGAGGCAGUGCUGAGGGGCAGCCAGAACCUGUAGCUUACCAGGCACAUCCCAGGACAUGUGUGUGAGGCAGGGUCCUGCUUUCAACUCUCCCCCAGUGAACUGAAGUCAAUGUCGUGAUGACGGUGGAGAAGCAGAGGCCCACACACAAAGAGGAAGGAGCUUUUGGACACAGUUAUACAGCAGAAUGCAGCAGGACUGGGACUCAGAUGCCAAAACCAUUCCAAAUAUGUCACAUCCAGUUAGUAGUUGA